rnacentral:miRNA from 1 species
GUCUCCUCUGUCUGUCUGUCUGUCCGGAUGCUGUGCAGGAGGAUGGCUAAUCUCCGGUGCGUUUCGAU